GGAAUACCCUCCCAAGCAGGGAACCAGACAUUGCAACAGCAGUGACGUACCCUGAUCGUACCGAAAGGGGCCGAAGCAGAGAGUAAUGAGGCUUUAUGGUCUGAGGGGACACUGAUGGCCUUAUCAAGGUGGUAGCAACGUGUCAGUGGAAGAGAAGUGACUGCCAGGCCCCGGCCAUGCAAGCGGGUCUGAUGGAGGAGAUGAUGGAUGUGAGCUGGAGAGCAGUGCUGAGAAAAGUGAUCCAAUACGGAUAGGAGCAACCAGCCUUGGGUUGGCCAAAGUCAACCUGGGGUUGGCCAAAGCCACCGUAAGCAGGAAUACGUUAAACGUGGAAAGCAGAAGGAAUAAAAGAUCCAGAAGGUUCUUAGGCACAAAGAUGAUACCACAGCGUUGUGUCAGCAGAAUCACGGAACAAAUCAGGCUGGAGCAGGCUGUGUUUGGCCUGACGUGACGCGUGGGAAGCUCCGGGUGGGAGGAAGAGGUCUCUGCUCCCAUUCCCUGCUCAGAGCAAGGCUAUCUGCUGUGCAGGGGACACGUGAGUGUGCAGUGAGAGAUCUUAAUGAGAUUGCAAACAGCAGCGCUUUCCGGCUCCGGUGAUGCUCAUUAUCACUCAGUGCAGUGCCUUGCUAUAAUUAAAGCGCGCCUUCCACGUUGU
rnacentral:lncRNA from 7 species